rnacentral:lncRNA from 1 species
AUGCCCCUGAAGUUCAGGGACUUGGGGGCGAGUGUCCCCCGCGCCGAGGCGGGGGCGCAACGGCGUCGGCGGGGCCCGGGCCCACAACGGCCGGCCGUGCGCCCCCGCCUCCGCCCCGGCGCCGCGCAGCCCCUCCCGGCAGCGGCCGGAGCCCGCGGGGCCCGCGCCUUCCCGCGCCGCGGCCGCCGCCGUCACAUGCCGUCCGCGCCGCCCAGGAGGCCUCGCCCCCGCGCCCAGCCCCCCGCAGCCCCUCGACCCAAAGUUUCGGCCUCAAGAGCGGUUGCAGGGCGCGCGGGCUCGGGGCGCCGGGCGGCGGCGGGCGGGCGGGCGGGUCGGCGCGGCCGGAGCGCGCACACCGGCGGGGGUCGCGACAGCGCCCGGCCGGCCCCGGGACACGUCCACAACUUUGCGCGGCCGCGGAGCGGGGGCCGCCGCGGGAGCCGGCACUUCUGCGCCUGCCGGGCCCCCGGGGGCCGAGGGAUGCGCGAGCCGCGGUCCGGAGCCGGACGCCGUCCGCGACCAGCCGCGGCGGGGCGGCCGCAGCUGCGCCCGGGAGUGCGGGCUCCCGCCCCGCCAACUCGGGAGGGCUCGGCGCCCCGCUGCGAUCACCUGUUCCCGGCCCCCGCCGGCCCCGCGGGGCGCGCAGCCCCGGCUGCACCGCUCUCGCCGCAGCCCGCGCGUCCUCGCGGCGGCCGCUCCAGACGGGCCGCCGCCGCCGCCGCCGCAGGCUCCUCCGCCGCCGCCGAGCCUGCGCCCCACACCCGCGCGCACCGCCCGGACGCCGCCGCCGCCGCCGCCGCAGCUCCGGCUUUCACUGAGACGGCGCCCGCGGCCCCGCCUCCCGGGCCACGCCCUCGGGCCACGCCCACUGCGCGCGCCCCGCGGGCCUCCUCCGCCGCGGCGCCGCGGCCGAGCCAAUGGCCCCGCGUCCGUGGGCAGGGAGCGCGGGAGCCGAGCGCGGGUGGGCAGAGGCGACGGGACUCCAAGCCACGCCCCCCCGGC